AAAUUGAAGAGUUUGAUCAUGGCUCAGAUUGAACGCUGGCGGCAGGCCUAACACAUGCAAGUCGAGCGGUAGCACAGAGAGCUUGCUCUCGGGUGACGAGCGGCGGACGGGUGAGUAAUGUCUGGGAAACUGCCUGAUGGAGGGGGAUAACUACUGGAAACGGUAGCUAAUACCGCAUAACGUCGCAAGACCAAAGUGGGGGACCUUCGGGCCUCAUGCCAUCAGAUGUGCCCAGAUGGGAUUAGCUAGUAGGUGGGGUAACGGCUCACCUAGGCGACGAUCCCUAGCUGGUCUGAGAGGAUGACCAGCCACACUGGAACUGAGACACGGUCCAGACUCCUACGGGAGGCAGCAGUGGGGAAUAUUGCACAAUGGGCGCAAGCCUGAUGCAGCCAUGCCGCGUGUGUGAAGAAGGCCUUCGGGUUGUAAAGCACUUUCAGCGGGGAGGAAGGCGGUGAGGUUAAUAACCUCAUCGAUUGACGUUACCCGCAGAAGAAGCACCGGCUAACUCCGUGCCAGCAGCCGCGGUAAUACGGAGGGUGCAAGCGUUAAUCGGAAUUACUGGGCGUAAAGCGCACGCAGGCGGUCUGUCAAGUCGGAUGUGAAAUCCCCGGGCUCAACCUGGGAACUGCAUUCGAAACUGGCAGGCUAGAGUCUUGUAGAGGGGGGUAGAAUUCCAGGUGUAGCGGUGAAAUGCGUAGAGAUCUGGAGGAAUACCGGUGGCGAAGGCGGCCCCCUGGACAAAGACUGACGCUCAGGUGCGAAAGCGUGGGGAGCAAACAGGAUUAGAUACCCUGGUAGUCCACGCCGUAAACGAUGUCGAUUUGGAGGUUGUGCCCUUGAGGCGUGGCUUCCGGAGCUAACGCGUUAAAUCGACCGCCUGGGGAGUACGGCCGCAAGGUUAAAACUCAAAUGAAUUGACGGGGGCCCGCACAAGCGGUGGAGCAUGUGGUUUAAUUCGAUGCAACGCGAAGAACCUUACCUGGUCUUGACAUCCACAGAACUUUCCAGAGAUGGAUUGGUGCCUUCGGGAACUGUGAGACAGGUGCUGCAUGGCUGUCGUCAGCUCGUGUUGUGAAAUGUUGGGUUAAGUCCCGCAACGAGCGCAACCCUUAUCCUUUGUUGCCAGCGGUCCGGCCGGGAACUCAAAGGAGACUGCCAGUGAUAAACUGGAGGAAGGUGGGGAUGACGUCAAGUCAUCAUGGCCCUUACGACCAGGGCUACACACGUGCUACAAUGGCAUAUACAAAGAGAAGCGACCUCGCGAGAGCAAGCGGACCUCAUAAAGUAUGUCGUAGUCCGGAUUGGAGUCUGCAACUCGACUCCAUGAAGUCGGAAUCGCUAGUAAUCGUAGAUCAGAAUGCUACGGUGAAUACGUUCCCGGGCCUUGUACACACCGCCCGUCACACCAUGGGAGUGGGUUGCAAAAGAAGUAGGUAGCUUAACCUUCGGGAGGGCGCUUACCACUUUGUGAUUCAUGACUGGGGUGAAGUCGUAACAAGGUAACCGUAGGGGAACCUGCGGUUGGAUCACCUCCUUA
rnacentral:rRNA from 5 species